rnacentral:sRNA from 1 species
AAGUAAUUUUUACGAAAGUCCUAUGGUGAAUAUAUAAACACAGACCAAAAGAUAAUGAGAGACCUGUAUAGUAUUACUCCAUUGUGUGUAAUUUAACUAUUCUUGUUAUAAAGCUGUGUAACCAGAAUCAUAUAUUGUAUAAACUUAAUACUACUGUAAUUAGUGGAGAUAUCCAUGAAUUUGAUACAUUUUGGGACGAAAAGUUCAUCAAGAAGAAAUUGACCAUGCUCCACAUGCUUAGGAAUUGAAAUUUGAAAUUGUAGCUGUCUGAAAAAUUAUACAACGAGAAUUUUCAUAGAUUUUUCACUUGGUCUGACUACAAGAGCUAAGAACCAAUAGUUUAUACCUAUUAUAUUAAUGUGUUAUUUUUCCCUUGUUGUCUGUGAUUUUAAUAAAUAUUUAAAAUC